rnacentral:rRNA from 1 species
GAUGAACGCUGACAGAAUGCUUAACACAUGCAAGUCAACUUGAACUUCGGUUUGGGUGGCGGACGGGUGAGUAACGCGUAAAGAACUUGCCUCACAGCUGGGGACAACAUUUGGAAACGAAUGCUAAUACCUGAUAUUAUGAUUAUAUGGCAUCGUAUAAUUAUGAAAGCUAUAUGCGCUGUGAGAGAGCUUUGCGUCCCAUUAGCUAGUUGGAGAGGUAACAGCUCACCAAGGCGAUGAUGGGUAGCCGGCCUGAGAGGGUGAUCGGCCACAAGGGGACUGAGACACGGCCCUUACUCCUACGGGAGGCAGCAGUGGGGAAUAUUGGACAAUGGACCGAGAGUCUGAUCCAGCAAUUCUGUGUGCACGAUGAAGUUUUUCGGAAUGUAAAGUGCUUUCAGUUGGGAAGAAAAAAAUGACGGUACCAACAGAAGAAGUGACGGCUAAAUACGUG